AUAACACAUUCACAAUCUAUAAGUAUAAUGAUGAUGUCUGAUCUUCCGGUGGCUUUGGUAGAAGAGAUACUCUCUAGGGUUCCAUUAACAUCUCUAAGCGCGGUGCGAUCUACUUGUAAAACGUGGAACGCUGUAGGAUUAACAUCUCUGUAGACUUAUAUUGGUAUAUGGUUUAUGCGUAAGAUUUCUCUUUUAAAC
rnacentral:sRNA from 1 species